AUUGAACGCUGGCGGCAUGCCUUACACAUGCAAGUCGAGCGGCAGCACGGGAGCAAUCCUGGUGGCGAGUGGCGAACGGGUGAGUAAUGUAUCGGAACGUACCUUUCAGUGGGGGAUAACGUAGCGAAAGUUACGCUAAUACCGCAUAUUCUGUGAGCAGGAAAGCAGGGGAUCGCAAGACCUCGCGCUAUUGGAGCGGCCGAUGUCCGAUUAGGUAGUUGGUGGGGUAAAAGCCUACCAAGCCGACGAUCGGUAACUGGUCUGAGAGGACGACCAGUCACACUGGGACUGAGACACGGCCCAGACUCCUACGGGAGGCAGCAGUGGGGAAUUUUGGACAAUGGGGGCAACCCUGAUCCAGCAAUGCCGCGUGUGUGAAGAAGGCCU
rnacentral:rRNA from 1 species